UUUCCUUGGCCUACACUUUUUCUCUCAUUUUUAAUGAAUGGUUUAAUGGUAAGAGUAAUUUGGAACCGAUAAAUUCUCUAUUAUGAUUAUUUGGCAUUUUAAUAAAAUGGUAACAAACUAAUAAUUUAUUGGCAUCUGCAUAUACUUAUUUUCUGGACUGGGUACUACAAGGUAUUUUCCUGAAUAGGCUAUAUACCUAUAGUAUUCAUAGUUCGGAGCUGCUAUCCGCAACAACCCGGAAGGUAAUCUGGUUGUACUAUUUUCUUACGUAUUGGACGUCUCUAGAGAUUCGCUAUGAGUAAAACAAGACAUUCCAAUCAAACAAGUAUGAACAAAGCUUUAAAGGAACUUUCAAUUUUCAAUUGUGAUGUCAUUCUUUCUGUGUUACCUCAGUGACUUGGCAAAGAUUUUGAUUAUAUGGCUUGACAUCUUCCUUGAAUCUACUUUUUGACUUUUAGGAUGGAAGACUAUAUUACUUUGGGAGGCAUAGUAGAAAUCCAAUUAUGUUUUUAUUUCCUUAAACCAAUGAAAUCUUCUUGAAUAAGUAAAUUAAGGGUGACCCAAAUUUUUUGUUUUACACACUACUACUCUUCUAUGAAAAAUCCUGUUUACACCCAUCAGCUGUAUUCAACAAAAAAUUAAUAGAAUAGUACAUAGAUGUUGAGGAAGUUGGAGAUAAGAAUGGGAAAGGACUGGAAUUGAAAUGAGUUGUCCCAAACUAAGGGCAUCAAAGUUGGAUUUUGCCUACGAUUCAAUCUCUAUGAUUGUGUUGAUGUCGAUUCAAUAUAAUAUCGUUGGAUUUUUAUUUCUAUGCUUCAUUGUUUUCUGCUCUUUUGCUAAAUAUGAUUUGUGGAGUGAAUGGUGUGUAUUCAAAACUGGUGGAUCAAAAUCCAGGUACUGUGUUAGCUAGCUAGGUGAAGAUAGAGAGGAAGUAGAAACAACAAUGAAGAGAACAACAACAUAAAAAAGAAAAAACAGGAGCACCCUUCUAGAAAGUCCUCUUAAUUUUAAAAGCUCAUAUACAGAAGUCAGAGUUGGUCAUUCUAUAACCUUUAAGCUCACAUCACUUUUUUGGUUAUUCUGGGACUAGAAAUCCAGUGAGCAAGGAACCUCAAGUGAUCAGUUACCGCCGAUGGUUUGUGGGGACAAUCGACUAUAAGUUAUGUUACAUCUUGGGUGUUAUCUGUAUCUUUAAUUUUUCUCAAAUCAAAUUGAAUUUCUCGUAUAAAAAUUUGAUUUAAUUGCUCCACUAGGUACUAGCUGCUAUCUUCGUUUCCUAAGCUCUCAACUACCUUUGUGUUAUCCUUUCUAAGGAUGUUUCGGCAAUUGUCCAUAUUUUGUUUUAACGUUUUGCAAUAAAGCUAAGUUGUGGAUUUCUUAUUUCGGCAGAUUUUCAUAGAUGCACAUGGGAAUAGGUCUGAAAAGUUUCAAGGUAUUGGGAUUGCUUCGCGUUGUUGUAGCUGUUCUUACGACUUCUAAGAAGAAUGCCGAUGGUAGGUUACUAGCAUACUGCUUCACCAAUCGGCUGGCAUAGUUGCGCCCGUGAGUAAAUGUAUGGUUGAUGCAUUCAGGAUAACAAUAUGGAAUGAAGGUUUUGGAGCAUUGGGAAAGAGUUCGAUUGGUGAAGGUCAGGCUUUUUUCCAGCUUUGCUUUGCUGUGUCAUAGGCUGACAACAGAUCCCGAUCACCGAUCGAUUUGUAUGCUUUCAAAGCCAUUCCUUGGUGCAGUAUGGCAUAUCUAUUUUGUGUUGAACCUUCGAGUAAGUUAUUAUAUUUGAUCAUGAUAUUAGUUGAAAUGACGAACUGAAAUUUAUGUUGUUUCAGACCCAUUUAAUUAUGGGUUCUAUUUCUAUUAGAGACCAUUAUUUGUUCUGCAUUUAUUUUCCUGACUUUUGUAUUAAUAAGUGGAAUUAUAUCAAAUAGACCGCUGCAUAAUACAUAAAGCUUAGUUUCCCAUUAUUGCAGUUCCAUUGUUUCUAUUUAAAAGACUAGCACCAGGUAUGUCCUGUUUCUGUCCAAUACUAAGACAAGUAUUUUAAACUACGGAAUAUGACGCAAUGGUAGCGCAUUUGACUCCAUGUCAGAAGGUUACGUGUUCGAUUCAUGUCAGGUCCAUCCCCAGUUUUUAACCACGUUUGGGAAAGGUUGUUGGUCAUGUAGAAGAAAAUUUGUUGAUUAGUCGUUCAUGUUUUUCUAUUUUAUAGUUUUAUUUAAGAAUGGUUGACGUGUUCAUGCCAUAAAUGGAUUUAAAUAACACACUUCUUGGUUGGAGGUAUAAUGUACAAGUUCUUUCGAGUUAUUUGCUGUCCGAUCUGAGGAUUUUGCAUCCCGUGACAUAAAUCUCAUCUACACAAUUUUUGCUUUUUCAUUUCUGACGUAAUUGCUUGACCACUGUGUUUUCUUUUUGUUCCUUGAUGCUUAACAUGAUCAUGCACACAACAAAAUAUUGAUCCAUAAACUACAAUUUUCUAUUGUUCGGGCGGCGUUAAUUUGACAUACAAACACUCGGACUGAGGUUAUUCCUGCUUCUGGUAGGAGCAUCUCAUGUCAUUUUGAACAACACCAGGUGAUCAUUACUCAAGACGGAAACAAUUAGGGAAAAACGAAAAUGGUGAAUUUAUAAGCGCCAUAGAAAUUUCUACGAUUGGUAUGUAGGAUCAGAAUCUCGCAACAAUAAUGCCUCAGCGAAAUUAUCAACAACACAACACAACAGCGUCGCAGAACAAUUUCAGAAAUGACAUAAUAAACGACGUCAGCUAAAAUCAUGAGAAAAAUGUGAUGGUUCUGCGAAAAUAAGAGAGUUUGCGAGAUUAACAUUUGUAAGGCCGCGAGAAUGUCGCAAGCCAUAUCCGAAAAUAAAGGACAGAUUAGCUGUCAUCCACUAUGUACUUCCCUAUAAAUAGUCGUUCAUUUGUAAAGGAAAGAAAUAGAUCUUUUUCUGAGUGAAAAGCAAGUAAUUGGAGAGAGAAAAUCUAGAGCAGU